GUGGUCAAGCUAAUAAGGGCUCAUGGUGGAUACCUAGGCACACAGAGGCGAAGAAGGACGUGGUUACCUGCGAAAAGUUCCGGGGAGUUGGAAGCAAACAGAGAGCCGGAAAUAUCCGAAUGGGGCAACCCUGAAAACUGCCUGUUGAAUAUAUAGACAGGAAAGAGCGAACCUGGCGAAUUGAAACAUCUUAGUAGCCAGAGGAAAAGAAAUCAAAAGAGAUUCCCCGAGUAGUGGUGAGCGAAAGGGGAAGAGCCUAAACCAAGGGGUAUACCUCUUGGGGUAGUGGGACAGCAACAUCGAAUCCAGAGACUAGACGAAGCAGCUAAAUACUGCACCAGAGGGGGUGAAAGUCCUGUAGUCGAAAGU
rnacentral:rRNA from 1 species